GGACUUUUGGUAUAGCAUUGGAAAUGUAAAUGAGCUAAAUACCUAAUAAAAAAUGGAAAAAAAAUAUAUAAAAAAAAAAAAAAAAAAAAAAAAACCUAGCAGGAACAGCCAGACCUCAGCUGAAUCAGCAGAAGGAACUAGGGCCAACAGCUAAAGUACUUAGCUGUGCCUCUCACAGCAAUGCAAAGAUCAAUGAAGACAUGAGCCCAAGAAGUGUUUAGCUAUGCAAGCAAGACAAGCUAAGACAAGCUUCAGUCACUGUCUGUUGAGCCCUAUUUAUACUCCCUCCAAAUAUCACAUGCCCUCUACAGGUCUUGCCUCAGCAGGUAAGUCUUAGCAAAAUUCCAUGUGAGUCUAUCUCAGCUGACAUCACUCUACCAAUUGACCCAAGUCUACAGAAAUGGCAAGAAACUGCCAGUAUACAACCAGAAGUUUUUUGGUUCAUUUCUCUCUAUGGAAUUCUGACAAGUGAAGGUCAAAUAUGCAAUUGAAGGUGGACCAAUACAUGUGUGUUGUUAGUAAAGAAUACUCAUCAUGUGUCUCUCCUUUCACGUGCUAGUGUUAGCAGAACAUUCUUUCACCUGUGUCUGCUUCAGUAAACUGUUCCUUCAUCAGUCUUCCUUAGCAUUUCAUCUGUGUUCACUCCAGCAAAAUGUUCCUUCAUGUAUUCCCCAUCAAAACACCAUCCAACAGAACUGACUUUCCAAAGAACUCUGAAGAUUCUACUUCAAGGAUCAAUUUUGCAUAUUGAGCUUUGGAGAGGUUCCACGGGCUACUGAGAAGAAAAUAUAUUUUAUCACUAUUAGAUGGAAUAUAUAUAUAUAACAUCGUUUAGAUAUCUGAUAUAUCUAUUUGCUCUAGAAGGCCUAUCUCCCUAAAGUUACUUUGUAAAGUUUGUUUGGUGUAUUUAUCAGUAAUAAUAGUGUAUUGCAAUGCUGUAUUAUUUUGUUUAAUUUUAUUUGUUUGUUUAUAUCCAGUAGUAUUUGUUUUAUGAAAUUUGGUUCACCAACUCUCAAAAUGUUUUUAAACUCAGAGGUAUUAUGUAUUUGGAUAUGUUUUUUUACAUUAUUUAUUGGGCUAUUUCUGUAUUUUAUAAUCUUUGCAUUUAAAAUAAGUACCAUUGAUAACAUCUAAUAUACACAUAUAACAUCAAUGGACUACUAGCUCUGCUCUCAUUC
rnacentral:lncRNA from 1 species